rnacentral:pre_miRNA from 1 species
AGUGCAUUUGUUGGGUCAUAUGGUGGUUCUAGUCCUACUUUCUUGAAGGAUGUCCAUAUUUCUUUCCAGAGUGAUUGAACUAAUUUGCAGUCCCACAAAUAAU